CGAAUACCGGAGAAUGUUAUCACGGGAGACACACGGCGGGUGCUAACGUCCGUCGUGAAGAGGGAAACAACCCAGACCGCCAGCUAAGGUCCCAAAGUCAUGGUUAAGUGGGAAACGAUGUGGGAAGGCCCAGACAGCCAGGAUGUUGGCUUAGAAGCAGCCAUCAUUUAAAGAAAGCGUAAUAGCUCACUGGUCGAGUCGGCCUGCGCGGAAGAUGUAACGGGGCUAAACCAUGCACCGAAGCUGCGGCAGCGACGCUUAUGCGUUGUUGGGUAGGGGAGCGUUCUGUAAGCCUGCGAAGGUGUGCUGUGAGGCAUGCUGGAGGUAUCAGAAGUGCGAAUGCUGACAUAAGUAACGAUAAAGCGGGUGAAAAGCCCGCUCGCCGGAAGACCAAGGGUUCCUGUCCAACGUUAAUCGGGGCAGGGUGAGUCGACCCCUAAGGCGAGGCCGAAAGGCGUAGUCGAUGGGAAACAGGUUAAUAUUCCUGUACUUGGUGUUACUGCGAAGGGGGGACGGAGAAGGCUAUGUUGGCCGGGCGACGGUUGUCCCGGUUUAAGCGUGUAGGCUGGUUUUCCAGGCAAAUCCGGAAAAUCAAGGCUGAGGCGUGAUGA
rnacentral:rRNA from 1 species